rnacentral:rRNA from 1 species
GACGAACGCUGGCGGCGUGCUUAACACAUGCAAGUCGAACGAUGAAGCCUUAGCUUGCUUUGGUGGAUUAGUGGCGAACGGGUGAGUAACACGUGAGCAACGUGCCCAGGACUCUGGAAUAACCGCGGGAAACCGUGGCUAAUACCGGAUAGGUGCCGAGGCCGCAUGGUCUUCGGUUGGAAAGUUUUUGCGGUUCUGGAUCGGCUCACGGCCUAUCAGCUUGUUGGUGGGGUAAUGGCCUACCAAGGCGACGACGGGUAGCCGGCCUGAGAGGGUGACCGGCCACACUGGGACUGAGACACGGCCCAGACUCCUACGGGAGGCAGCAGUGGGGAAUAUUGCACAAUGGGCGCAAGCCUGAUGCAGCAACGCCGCGUGGGGGAUGGCGGCCUUCGGGUUGUAAACCUCUUUUAGUAGGGAAGAAGCGCAAGUGACGGUACCUGCAGAAAAAGCACCGGCUAACUACGUG